UACAGAGGGUGCGAGCGUUAAUCGGAGUUACUGGGCGUAAAGGGCGCGUAGGCGGUUGUUUAAGUGAGAUGUGAAAUCCCUGGGCUUAACCUAGGAACUGCAUCUCAUACUGAACAGCUAGAGUAUUGUAGAGGGUAGUGGAAUUUCCGGUGUAGCGGUGAAAUGCGUAGAGAUCGGAAGGAACACCAGUGGCGAAGGCGGCUACCUGGACAAAUACUGACGCUGAGGCGCGAAAGCGUGGGGAGCAAACAGGAUUAGAUACCCUGGUAGU
rnacentral:rRNA from 1 species